rnacentral:lncRNA from 1 species
AGUCCCGCAUCCAUGAUGUAAACAGCGUUAGCCGCAGUGCAAAGUUUUGUUCAGGAGCUCAUGUCUUGCCUUUUC